GACGAACGCUGGCGGCGUGCUUAACACAUGCAAGUCGAACGGGUCUGCCCUGUUUUUUGCGGGGUGGGUCAGUGGCGAACGGGUGAGUAACACGUGAGUAACCUGCCCCUCACUUCUGGAUAACCGCUUGAAAGGGUGGCUAAUACGGGGUGUUCUGGCUGUGCCGCAUGGUGUGGCUGGGAAAGAUUCACUUUUGUGGUGUUUUGGUGGGGGAUGGGCUCGCGGCCUAUCAGCUUGUUGGUGGGGUGAUGGCCUGCCAAGGCUUUGACGGGUAGCCGGCCUGAGAGGGUGGGCGGUCACCCUGGGACUGAGAUACGGCCCAGACUCCUGCGGGAGGCAGCAGUGGGGGGUAUUGCACAAUGGGCGGAAGCCUGAUGCAGCGACGUCGCGUGAGGGAUGGAGGCCUUCGGGUUGUGAACCUCUUUCGCCGGUGAAGAAGGUCCUGCUCUUUGUGGUGGGGUUGACGGUAGCCGGGUUAUGAAGCGCCGGCUAACUACGU
rnacentral:rRNA from 1 species